ACCCACCCAUAUUGAAUUAAUUUUUUUUCUUAAAAAAAACAAACUCUAAAAUUAUUUUCUCCUUGGUCUGUCGUCGUCUUCCUGCUUAGAUACUUCGAUCUCAGAAUUUUUUUCUGACGAUGAACUGGUCUGAUCGAUUCAGACUCCUUCGCGUGCUCAUCUACACUGGUCUGAUCGAUCCGGCGUCGCAUCGGUUGGAGGAUAUCGACGCUCGCUCAGCGAAAUGUGAAGUUCAGAUCGCAGAGGAAUGGCUCGAGAAGCUCUCUACGCGUACGUACGUACGUACGACGAGGAGUACGUGCUGAAGCGUAAGUUGAGAUCUCGGGUCCUGAACAAGCACUCACGUGUUGGCUGCCAAGUUGUGUUAAGGCAGGAGCUCCAAGGAAUGGUCGUCGCUGCCCCUGAAGCCAAGCCGUGUGACAUUGCAGUUUCAUGUUGUGUGUGUUGACUUGUGGUUAACCUCAUGGAGAACUUUCUGUCCAGUGUGCAAACAGGACAAAAAAAACUAGCAAUGGCAAGCCACUAGCUUCAGAGAGCACCCCAUUGCUCUCUACCGCUGCGUCUUCUUUCCACUCUUCCUCUGCACUCUCUUCAUUCAGAUCAUCAGCAGUGUUGAUUGGUCAUUUUUGGGUUCUGAUCCUGCUGUUAAUUGAUACUGAUUAGGUAAAUUACGAUUUGUUCUAAUUAUGAAAGAUUAAGACUUUAUGUUAUUCACUCUCUUAUGAAUGGUUUAAGCUUAUGUGUCUAAAAUUGUUGUGUUAUCUGUUUGUUGUAAUAACUUUCAAUUGUGUUCUGUUUUUUUUUUUUUUGUGUUCUGUUUUUUCAUGUGAUUCAGUGAUUGUUAGAUCAAUGAGGGGAGGAAAUAAGCAUAAUAAUCACCACUCGAGAAUCAUUUUUCUUUGUCAUAUGCAAAACAGAGGCGAAUACAAGAGGAUAAUAAGGCCUUACGUCAGCCAAUUCCUCGUUGAGAUUAUUGUGUUAAAGAAUAAGCCUAAAAUACGAGAGGUUAAUAAGGCCUUACCUGAGCCAGUAACCAGAUGCAUUUUCUGUCACUUGCAAGUUGCAACUAAGUGGUGUGACAGAUGAGGAAGUAAGCAACAUAAAAGAUGACAUUGUUCAACGAAGCUGUCUAAGCUCUAAGAUAUGUAUAAUCAUUGACUAUUACAAGAUUUUAGAGUUUUUUUUGGAGGAAGAGUUGUACUACUAACUUUAUUAGGUAUAAUUAAGAUAAAUAAAA